rnacentral:rRNA from 1 species
GCUUGAUGCAGCACUGCCGCGUGUGUGAAGAACGUCUUCGGUUUGUAAACUCCUUUUGUUAGGGAAGAAAGUGUGGUAGCUAAUAGCUGCUAGAUCUGACAUUACCUAGACAAUCACCACCGGCAUAAUCUGUGCCAGCAGCC